rnacentral:rRNA from 1 species
AUUGAACGCUGGCGGAAUGCUUUACACAUGCAAGUCGAGCGGCAGCACGGGGGCAACCCUGGUGGCGAGCGGCGAACGGGUGAGUAAUACAUCGGAACAUGCCCAGUCGUGGGGGAUAACACUUCGAAAGAAGUGCUAAUACCGCAUACGUCCUGAGGGGGAAAGCGGGGGAUCGCAAGACCUCGCGGGUUUGGAGUGGCCGAUGUCAGAUUAGCUAGCUGGUGGGGUAAAGGCCUACCAAGGCAACGAUCUGUAGCUGGUCUGAGAGGAUGAUCAGCCACACUGGGACUGAGACACGGCCCAGACUCCUACGGGAGGCAGCAGUGGGGAAUUUUGGACGAAGGAGGCAACCCCGAUCCAGCCAUUCCGCGUGAGUGAAGAAGGCCUUCGGGUUGUAAAGCUCUUUCGGCAGGAACGAAACGGUGAGCUCUAACAUAGCUUGCUAAUGACGGUACCUGAAGAAGAAGCCCCGGCUAACUACGUG